UGCCAGCCGCCGCGGUAAUACGGAGGGGGUUAGCGUUGUUCGGAAUUACUGGGCGUAAAGCGCACGUAGGCGGAUUAGUAAGUUAGGGGUGAAAUCCCGGGGCUCAACCCCGGAACUGCCUCUAAUACUGCUAGUCUUGAGUUCGAGAGAGGUGAGUGGAAUUCCGAGUGUAGAGGUGAAAUUCGUAGAUAUUCGGUGGAACACCAGUGGCGAAAGCGGCUCACUGGAUCUCUUCUGACGCUGAGGAACGAAAGCUAGGGUAGCGAACGGGAUUAGAUA
rnacentral:rRNA from 1 species